GUGCUCGUUUUGGCAACACACAUACUGAAAUUGGAAUGACUCAUAGAAGAUUAGCAUUGUCCCUGCAUAAAGAUGCCACACAAGUUCAUAAAGCAUUCCACAUAUUU